rnacentral:rRNA from 1 species
AUACGGAGGAUCCGAGCGUUAUCCGGAUUUAUUGGGUUUAAAGGGUGCGUAGGCGGACUUUUAAGUCAGUUGUGAAAUGUCGGCGCUCAACGCCGUCACUGCAGUUGAAACUGGAGGUCUAGAGAGUGCAAGAGGCAUGCGGAAUUCAUGGUGUAGCGGUGAAAUGCAUAGAUAUCAUGAAGAACCCCGAUUGCGAAAGCAGCAUGCUGGGGCAUAUCUGACGCUGAGUCACGAAAGUGCGGGUAUCAAACAGGAUUAGAUACCCUGGUAGUCCGCACAGUAAACGAUGAAUACCAGCUGUUGGCGAUAGACAGUCAGCGGCGCAAGCGAAAGCGUUAAGUAUUCCACCUGGGGAGUACGCCGGCAACGGUGAA